rnacentral:rRNA from 1 species
GAUGAACGCUGGCGGCGUGCCUAAUACAUGCAAGUCGAGCGAAUGGAUUAAGAGCUUGCUCUUAUGAGGUUAGCGGCGGACGGGUGAGUAACACGUGGGUAACCUGCCCAUAAGACUGGGAUAACUCCGGGAAACCGGGGCUAAUACCGGAUAACAUUUUGAACCGCAUGGUUCGAAAUUGAAAGGCGGCUUCGGCUGUCAAUUAUGGAUGGACCCGCGUCGCAUUAGCUAGUUGGUGAGGUAACGGCUCACCAAGGCAACGAUGCGUAGCCGACCUGAGAGGGUGAUCGGCCACACUGGGACUGAGACACGGCCCAGACUCCCACGGGAGGCAGCAGUAGGGAAUCUUCCGCAAUGGACGAAAGUCUGACGGAGCAACGCCGCGUGAGUGAUGAAGGCUUUCGGGUCGUAAAACUCUGUUGUUAGGGAAGAACAAGUGCUAGUUGAAUAAGCUGGCACCUUGACGGUACCUAACCAGAAAGCCACGGCUAACUACGUGCCAGCAGCCGCGGUAA